AAAUUAACAUACAAUUUCUUUGCUAACCUUCCCUGGCUCACUUCCAACUUCUUAACAUGCCCUCUCACAUACCAGAGACACCAAUUUACUUCAUUUUUAGAGAUCAUCACUAUUUUUGAGGCCGACACUCGGACAUUCGGGGAUUGCUUUGAAGGACAUCGGGAAACUACUCUUUUUCUUUUCGGAGCUGUAUGCUCACACACUUCAACUUUCAUAUUGAAGUCCCGAUAUCUAAACCCCUGCAGGAUAUUUGUCAGCAGUUGGAAACAACACAUGCUAUGAUGCCAGACAUCGCUGCAUUCCCCUUGGUAAUUCCCUAUUGUCAUCUGUGAAUGUGUCAAUCAAGGUUGCAGGGUACCAUACUUCUGAGAAGCCAAGAGGGACAGGUGUGGGAGAUCCCUUCGGAUCUGGUUUAUCUCCUGUUUUGUGGCAUAUGAUGUGACACAUUCUUCAAAACAUUUUAAAAUAGAGUUUCAUUUAACUAGCGGAGACUUUCAUUUGAGGGAUAUGGUUCUGAUGUGUGUUUUAGGUAUACUCAUGUGUAAUAUAUAAGAUGUAUUCUUGAGGAAGUUAUUUAACACAAUUUUCCUUGUGUGCAGGAAGUCAAAUGAAGAAUUUGGGGAUGCAGCAGAGCCUGACAUAAAACUUGGUAAAAAGAAAUAUAGUCAUGUGCAAAUAUCUAAAUACAUUUGCUAAUGACAAUUUUUUCUUCUCA